rnacentral:lncRNA from 1 species
CUCCCUCAUGUGACGCGGGAACAGCUGCGGCCUGAGUCACUGGGCCCGGCGCGGGGUGGGCCGAGCCCCUGCCCGGCCAGGGCCACGUGGCCCCUACCCGGAAGAAGGCGCCCACCCCCCGCAAACGGAGAGCCGAAAAGGCAAGACCUCGGGGCGCCUGGGGCCCCCCUCUGGCGCCCCGCCUCCGUGCCAACUCGGGGUAGGAGAGCAGGGCGGAGCGCAGCCUGGGUCACUCUGGUUUAGAGAAGCGGACGAGCUAGGGUUCCUAGUCUGAGAAAAGGGGAGGAAGCCCUUCCCCGAAGCCACGCUACCCAGUCAAUCAAUACACGUCCGCGUCGGGUCCCGCCCUCUGGGGGAGGAUUGACAAGGUCUGCCCUCCCAACUCCCGGACAGCUCCUGCAUCGUCUGUGAUAGCGAGGGUUUGGGGGAAGACACGAAGGUAGAGGCUUACAUCCUCUGGAUUUCCUCGUCUUAUCCCAGAAGACAAAGCCAGGUGAGGGCUGGAAGCGGGCUAGGGGGUCAAGCUGCCUCCCUCCCUUGUGUGCCAGGGGUGGUCUCCAGAAGGAGCUGAUCUGAACAGGCCAGAAAGUGGGACCGGUCGUCACACCCCCACACCUCCAGCCUCGGACCCACUCCUUGGGCUCUUAGGGUCCUGCCUCAAGAACCACUUCCUGAGUCUUGGUGUAUGUGUGUACACAAAGAAGGAAAGAAGUCUCUAGAGCAAAAGGAAGGAGAUCCGGGCUGGGCUGAGAAGCAUCUUCCAGGAUCACGGCCUUCCUGUGGGACACACCAAGCCCAUUCCGGACCUUGCUCUUCCUGACCAUGGCGGGCAGGAGUGGAGGAGGAGUGGAGAGCUGAAGAAAGGAGUAUUCGUCAGGUUCCUUAUUGUGCUGCCACUAGAUGCCAGGUAUAUGCUAGGCUCGGGGGCUGCAAGGAGAGGAAGACAGCGGCCCUGCCCUCUGCCAGCAGGCAGAACCAAAUUCUGGCCACACUGAAGAAAGGCAGAAGCCUGCGGUGGCAGCUGGUUAAGUUCAGAGGGAGGGAAAGGGAGAGGAGAAUGGAUUUCACGGAGCAGGUGGAUGUGCUCAAGGUGACCUUGGAGAAUAAAGGGGAGAGCUCCAGGGACAGAGAAACAGUUGACUGUGAAAAAAAAAGGAGCAUUUUUUAAAGAACAUGGCGGUUGGGUUUGACUGGCUCAAAGGACUUGGGGAGGAUGUGGUGAGCUGGGUUGAAGGUGGUCUGAAGAUCAAGACUGAGAGACUUUAGAUACAUAACAGCCAACUGCAAUGUUUCGUCCUUCAUUGAAUGGUUGAACAAACCAGCUGUGAAAGACAUUUUGGGACAUACGAAUAUGGACUGAGAAUUAGACAUGAGAAAAUUAUUUUGUUAACUGUUUUCAUGGUUCACAAAAUGGUCAUAUGAUUAUGUGGAGAAG